GUUCAACUUCAAAUUGAGAUUGCUCCUUCAUUUUUAAUCCAAAUUAAGUGAUUCAAAAGGCAAACUUCAAGAGAAUUUCGAGGGGAAUCUAGCGGUGAUCUCGAAAACGCGAGGGGAGGCUUCGUUGAGUGGGGAAGCAUUUGGAGACCGUUCGGAGAGGAAAAGAUCCGGUACCGUGAGUUGGAGCACGCGUGAUCGGCUUUCAGGUCCGAGCACUAGUAGCCAGCGUUGAUCGAGCUUGGAGUAGACUUAUCUGGAGACGGGGGGAUGGCUCGCACGCGUGGUAGGGCCCCAGCUAGGGGUAGAGGCCGACCUCGAGGUCGUGCCAGAGCUACAGCACCAGCCCAGGACCGAGAGCAAACUCCAGAGCCGGUGAUAGAGCCACCAGCAGCUCCAGCACCGCAGCAGCCGAUGGGUCCGGGAUCAGCCCAGCCACCGCCCGAGCCUGUGGCAGCUCCAGAUAUACAGGCGAUGCUCGUACAGAUACUAGCUGCCAUUGGGGGUAUGCAGCAGGCCCCAGCUCCAGUUGUUCCAGUACCGCAGGGCCAGCCUACACCAGCGGCACCGAUUGUC